rnacentral:misc_RNA from 1 species
AGGUCGUAACAAGGUCUCCGUUGGUGAACCAGCGGAGGGAUCAUUGCUGGAACAAACGCCCUCACGGGUGCUACCCAGAAACCCUUUGUGAACUUAUAACUUGUUGCCUCGGCAUUGGUUGGCUUCGAAUGAAGUCCCUUAUACCCUUCUGAGUGUAAGGAGCAGACCGGCCGACGGCCCCUUAUAAACUCUUGUUUUUGGUAAUAUCAUCUGAGUAAAACAACUAAAAUGAAUCAAAA